ensembl:snoRNA
UUGCACGGUGAACACCCAAGUGUGCUUUAUAGUUCCCUUGGCUUCGACUCUGUGCUAGAGCAAUGUCUGUCCUCCUCUGCAUUGAAAGGCCUAUUUAUCCUUUCAAAUGUAUUCAGAAAGUCAGCACAUUU